CUCAGCUCUGAAGUUGAAGGGCUGUUGCAAAAUGCACUUUUUGAGAAAAUGAAAAUUGCAGAGUUUCUUGGAGAGCUAAAAAUUCGAUCGCCCAGAGC
rnacentral:rRNA from 1 species